rnacentral:lncRNA from 1 species
ACGAGCCCAUCUGCUGGUCUACAUCGAACACCAUUUACCUCGUAAUUUAUUCCCCCAGCUCUCUCUCUCUCACUUACCGACACGCACAAAGAAGCAGCAACCAUUAGUUCAUCAUGUAAUUAUCGGUCUAAUUAAUUUUUGCAGUGCAGUCCUCUCUAUCAUCACAAGAACAUCACGGGGACCACUAUGUAGGUUUGGGUCUAGAUGCUAGUUAAAAUCUAACAAUUCACAUCCAUGUUUCGUCAUGCAGCUAUCCUUAGUCGGUCUAAUUAAUCUUUC